GCCCGCUUAGCUCAGUGGUAGAGCGCGUCACUUGUAAAUCGAUUAUGAUGAGGUCGGUUGUUCAAUCCAGCCAGUGGGCA